rnacentral:lncRNA from 1 species
GGGUGAAAGACAUUCACUACACCAGAGGAGACAAAGGAAGCACGUUGCUGUUAUUGCUGUUCAUGGCCUUCUUCCAACAGUAAGGGAAGCUAGUUUGAAGAUAAACUGUACAAAGGAAAGUAAAACAAGAGAAGUGCAGCGAAAUGGUGCCGGAGCCGUGAUGCAGCUACAACCUAGAGUUCUCACAAUCUCUUAAUUUCCUGCUGUCGGCGAUAAAUGUGAUCAUUUUGGCCGAUUUGGUUCAGUUUUUCUGUUCCGUGAAGCUGAAAGCAUCCUGACACAGGGCACACAAUGCUGUUGAAGCCAUCAGAGUACCAGGAUGCUGAUCUCCACGGCAAGUGCCUGAGCAGAGGGAGCUCAGUGAAGAGGAACUGCUCCAGCACUACACAGGCAUUCUUGGUAGCUGGACAGUACUGGACCCAUCACAAUUUCAAUACUGGGAAGAGAAAAGCCAGUCCUCUGGGGAAAGAUGAAGCACUGGACCUACAAACUAACUACUUUCAACCCCUGGAUGAAUCUAGGAGAUUAGUCCCGAUAUCAAGGCAAUGUCAAGAGUGAAGGGGAGGAUCAAGAUUUUUUUUGAGUGAUUGUUUCCUGGAAGGAGAAAAAAAAAUAACAAGAAAAUGACCAUGGAAAGUAACAACAACUGAAAACGGAUAAAAUGAAGAUGUGUGAAAGAGCACAAGAGUGCAAAACCAAAAGUAUACAAGGAGUGUUUAUGCAGUAACCACUUUAGAAUGCCUUUCCUCAUGUUUGAAGACUUCUAAACUAGGGCAAGGACAGAUCCCAGCAACUACUGGAAGCAUAAUAAAGGAGAAGAAUGAGGCAUUUUCUUCUCUCAUAUACAGAUUAUAUGUAAUUAGGAUGCUAAGGAUAAUUUUGUAACAUAAAAACGGAGAUGCUAAGGAGAAUGGUUUCACCCUAGUUUAUAGAAGGAGGGUAUACUAUGGUCUAUCAAAGACUGAAAAUUGUCCUCUGCUAAUAAAGUCUCAAAUCAGGGCAAUUGGAUUUCUUUCUUUUUUUUUUUUUAUUAUACUUUAAGUUUUAGGGUACAUGUGCACAAUGUGAAGGUUUGUUACAUAUGUAUACAUGUUCCAUGUUGGUGUGCUGCACCCAUUAACUCAUCAUUUACAUUAGGUAUAUCUCCUAAUGCUAUCCCUCCCCACUCUCCCAGCCCCACAACAGGUCCUGGUGUGUGAUGUUCUCCUUCCUGUGUCCAUGUGUUCAAUUCCCACCUAUGAGUUGAGUUAGAGUUACUAGUCUCAAAUAAAUGCUUGGUAAUGCCAUACAAUCUAAACAUGUUGUCACUGUCAACUCACUAUCUCAUAUUCUGCAAUGAUACCCUUCUAUAUUCUGAAAUUCCUUCCCCAUUCUCAGCAGAUAGCCUCAGAUCAUAUAUCAUACACACAAUUGAACAUAUCACAUAGAAAUUUCAUCAGCUCACUGCCUCCAAUCCAAUGAACCUAACAUCUACUAACAUCAACACCAUCCAGGAAACCAUGACCUCACCAGAUGAACUAAAUAAGGCACCAGGGAAAAAUACCAGUGAAACAGAGACAUGUGACCUUUCAGACAGAUAAUUCAAAAUAGCUGUGUUGAGGAAACUCAAAUUCAAGAUGAUACAGAGAAGGAAUUCAGAAUUAGAUAAAUUUAACAAAGAGAUUGAAAUAAUUAAGAAUCAAGCAGAAAUUCUGGAGCUGAAAAACGCAACUGGCGUAUUGAGAAAUGCACCAGAGUCUCUUAAUAGCAGAACUGAUCAAGCAGAAGAAUGAAUUAGUGAUGUUGAAGACAGACUAUUGGAAAUGCACAGUCAGAAGAGAAAAAAGAAAAAACAAUGAAGCACGCCUACAGGAUCUAAAAAAUAGCCCCCAAAGGGCAAAUCUAAGAGUUACUGGCCUUAAAGAGGGGGGGCUCAACACCCAAGUACAAAAAGGUUAGAGAACACCAAGUAGAUUUAAUCUAAAGAAGACUACCUUGAAUCGUUUAACAAUUAAACUCCCAAAGGUCAAGGAUAAAGAAAGGAUACUAAAAGAACCAAGAGAAAAGAAACAAGUAACAUACACUAGAGCUCCAGUACACCUGGUAGCAGACUUUUCAGUGGAAACCUUACACACCAGGAGAGUGACAUGGCAUAUUUAAAGUGCUAAAGGGUGGAAAAAAAGCCUUUUACCCUGGA